rnacentral:lncRNA from 1 species
GGGCCAGGGUCCCAGCGACACAGAGAGGGGGCCGGGUCCCAGCGACACAGAGAGGGGCCCAGGGGCCCAGGGUCCCAGCGCGACACAGAGAGGGGCCCGGGUCACAGCGACACAGAGAGGGGGCUGGGUCCCAGCGACACAGAAGCUGUUUUAGCUGAAAUCACUUUGCCUUAAAGGCUUCCUGGGUAGAGUGUGUCCUGCCCGUCCCAGCUGCACCCCUUUGCUCAUCAAAUCCCAACUUCAUCCUUCUCUCC